rnacentral:rRNA from 1 species
UUCGUAGCCGGUCUGGUGCAUCUCCUGUGAAAUUGUUCGGCUUAACCGGACAGCGUGCAGGAGACACGGCCAGACUCGAGACCGGGAGGGGUAAGAAGUAUUCCAUGGGGACUGGUAAAAUGGGAUAAUCCAUGGAAGACUACCGAUGGCGAAGGCAUCUUACCCAGAACGGAUCUGACGGUGAGGAACGAAAGCCAGGGGAGCGAACCGGAUUAGAUACCCGA